rnacentral:rRNA from 1 species
GACGGGUGAGUAACGCGUGGGAACGUGCCCUUUGCUACGGAACAGUCCUGGGAAACUGGGUUUAAUACCGUAUACGCUCUUCGGAGGAAAGAUUUAUCGGCAAAGGAUCGGCCCGCGUUGGAUUAGGUAGUUGGUGGGGUAAUGGCCUACCAAGCCGACGAUCCAUAGCUGGUUUGAGAGGAUGAUCAGCCACACUGGGACUGAGACACGGCCCAGACUCCUACGGGAGGCAGCAGUAGGGAAUCUUAGACAAUGGGCGCAAGCCUGAUCUAGCCAUGCCGCGUGUGUGACGAAGGCCUUAGGGUCGUAAAGCACUUUCGCCAGGGAUGAUAAUGACAGUACCUGGUAAAGAAACCCCGGCUAACUCCGUGCCAGCAGCCGCGGUAAUACGGAGGGGGUUAGCGUUGUUCGGAAUUACUGGGCGUAAAGCGCGCGUAGGCGGGCUGUUAAGUUAGGGGUGAAAUCCCGGGGCUCAACCCCGGAACUGCCUUUAAUACUGGCAGCCUAGAGUUCGAGAGAGGUGAGUGGAAUUCCGAGUGUAGAGGUGAAAUUCGUAGAUAUUCGGAGGAACACCAGUGGCGAAGGCGGCUCACUGGCUCGAUACUGACG